rnacentral:rRNA from 1 species
UACAGAGGGGGCAAGCGUUAUUCGGAAUUAUUGGGCGUAAAGGGCGCGUAGGCGGCCGUGCAAGUGGGAGGUGAAAUCCCUCGGCUCAACCGAGGAACUGCCUUUCAAACUGCAUGGCUUGAGUCCGGGAGAGGUGAGUGGAAUUCCCAGUGUAGCGGUGAAAUGCGUAGAUAUUGGGAGGAACACCAGUGGCGAAGGCGGCUCACUGGACCGGAACUGACGCUGAGGCACGAAAGCGUGGGGAGCAAACGGG